CACACGCAUUCAUUCUCCCUUGUGGGGGGAGAGGCUUAGGAGACCGUUUGAGCUUUAGCAGAAAGGGGGGAGGGACUGAGAAGUUGUCGAUGUUCAAAUUCUUUGGCUAAGUCCCGGAUCUUCACAGUCCUACCUACAGCAACUUUAAAUAUAAGAACAAUGUUCCCAAG